UCCCUAGUGGUCCAGUGAUUAGAACUUUGUGCUUUCACUGCCCUAGGCCCAGGUUCAAUCCCUGGUUGGGGAA
rnacentral:tRNA from 1 species